UUGUGAAGGAUGGUCCGCCCAUUAAUUUACUUGUUUUAUGCUGGUGUAUAUCUGGUUUGAUAUUAUUAUUUAAUAGUUUUAACUUGUGUAUUUUUUUAGUUAAGCCAAGUCUAUGUGCUGCUUAAAUAAGUUUUCAUGCGUUACAUUUAUAACUUUGUAUUAUUGUAAAAUGAUAGUUAAUUUAGGACUCAAAAGUAAUGUAUAAUCAGUUUGUAUAUGUGAAAUUGGUUUAGCUUA
rnacentral:rRNA from 1 species